GCCCGCGUAGCGCAAUGGUUAACGCGUCAGACUUCUACAAUCUGAAGAUUGUGGGUUCGACUCCCACCGUGGGUG
rnacentral:tRNA from 1 species